rnacentral:tRNA from 1 species
AUAUAGAUAAGCUAACCAAAAUAAGCUUUUAGGCUCAUACCCUAACCAUAUAAAUACAUUUAUUCUAUAUA